UACGGAGGGAGCUAGCGUUGUUCGGAAUUACUGGGCGUAAAGCGCGCGUAGGCGGCUUUGUAAGUUAGAGGUGAAAGCCCGGAGCUCAACUCCGGAACUGCCUUUAAAAACUGCAUCGCUUGAAUCCAGGAGAGGUGAGUGGAAUUCCGAGUGUAGAGGUGAAAUUCGUAGAUAUUCGGAAGGAACACCAGUGGCGAAGGCGGCUCACUGGACUGGUAUUGACGCUGAGGUGCGAAAGCGUGGGGAGCAAACAGG
rnacentral:rRNA from 1 species